rnacentral:misc_RNA from 1 species
GUGAAUCAUCGAAUUUUUGAACGCAAAUUGCACUCUCUUCGGUGAGUAUGCGUGUUUGAGGGUCAGCCUAAAUAAAAUCGACAUCGUUGCUGUUUCGGGGUGGCGUUCGCCGGAAAUUGGGUUAUCUUAAUUCUUUGGUUUAAGCGACUUAGAAUUUUCUUUACGUUUUAAUGAACGUUUCAAUGAU